rnacentral:rRNA from 1 species
AUUGAACGCUGGCGGCAUGCUUUACACAUGCAAGUCGAACGAGUGGCGAACGGGUGAGUAAUGUAUUGGAACGUACCGAGUAAUGGGGGAUAACCAAUCGAAAGCUUGGCUAAUACCGCAUAUUAUUCGAGCGGCCCAUAUCUGAUUAGCUAGUUGGUGGGGUAAAGGCUUACCAAGGCGACGAUCCGUAGCGGGUCUGAGAGGAUGAACGGCCACACUGGGACGUGGACACGGCCCAGACUCCUACGGGAGGCAGCAGUGGGGAAUUUUGGACAAUGGGCGCAAGCCUGAUGCAGCCAUGCCGCGUGUAUGAAGAAGGCCUUCGGGUUGUAAAGUACUUUUAUCGGGGAGGCGGUACCUAAAGAAGAAGCAACGGCUAACUACGUGCCAGCAGCCGCGGUAAUAC